rnacentral:rRNA from 1 species
UACGGAGGGGACUAGCGUUGUUCGGAAUUACUGGGCGUAAAGCGCGCGUAGGCGGAUUUGCAAGUCGGGGGUGAAAUCCUGGAGCUCAACUCCAGAACUGCCUUCGAUACUGGAAGACUUGAGUCCGGGAGAGGUGAGUGGAACUGCGAGUGUAGAGGUGAAAUUCGUAGAUAUUCGGAAGAACACCAGUGGCGAAGGCGGCUCACUGGACUGGUAUUGACGCUGAGGUGACGAAAGCGUGGGGAGCAAACAGG